CACCCGAACUUAAGCACUCGAACUUAAGCACUCGAACUUAAUUACCUCGAGAUGUUUAUCUCGAGAUAAGCAAGUUAAAAACCUCGCAACGGAUACAUUGACUUAGUAUAACGUAUAUAUAUAUAUAUAUAUACACCUAGUUGAGCAUAUAUAUAUAUAUAUAUAUAUAUAUAUAUAAACAAAAUAAAAAAAAAAUGACACUUGCAUUUUUUAUUUAACACCUUUUAUAAGUAGCAACAUUAGAUAUACUACUACAAUCAUUUUUUUUUUGUUUAUUUUUAAAAUAACAUAUCAUGGUUCUGAUUUCAUCAUAAUGUCCCGUUUCAAAAUUUUGUUUUAUGCUUUAUGUGUUUCUAUAUUUUUAACAUGCAUAAAGUGUAAGAAUGUAAGUGUUAAUACGAACACAUAUGGUAACGAUAAAAUGUACUUACAAGUGAUAAAUAGAGUAGUAUUUAACAAACAUUUAUGUAACAAUUUAAGUUUUAAUAAACUUUUAUGUUAUUUUAAUAUAAUUAAUAAUAAUAAUAAUAAUAAUAAUAAUAAUAAUGUUUUAAAUAAAAAUGGGAUUAUUAAUUCGAUAAAAAGUUUAUCUACUGAACAAAAAAAAAAUAUAUAUAACAAUCGGAGUAAUUUGAAAAAUAAUAGUGAAAGUAACAAGAUUAAUAAUGACGAUGGGGAUGGGGAUGGAGAUGGAGAUGGAGAUAAAGAUGGAGAUAAAGAUGUGUAUGGGUAUGGAUAUGAUGAUAAAAAUGAAAUCUUUUUGGACCUAAAAGAAAGUCAACAAACAAAUUUUAUUAAAAAACAAAAUGUAAGUAAUAAAUAUAGUAUUAUAAGAAGUCAUAAUAUUCAUAAAAAUGAAGAGAAAUAUAGAAAUAAAUUAGGCUACUUAUUUAUAAAUCAAUUAAGUUUAAAAGUAUCAAAUGUUUUAAAAAAAAAACAAUGUAUGAAGUGUAACUAUAGUAGUACUCCUUUUUUUUUAAAACAAAAUAAGAAUUAUAAGCAUCACAAAUUUUUUGGGAACGUAAAAAAAUUACAUUUUACAAGACGAGGAAGUGGAAACAUUGUUGUGGAUAAUAAUAAAUAUACUGUUGAUUUGGUACCUAAAGUUGUCGAUGAAAGAGUUACUCGUCAAAUUAUCCAUAGUACCGAUACUACCAAUAAUAAUAACAACAAUAAUGAACCUACAUUGAAAUACUAUUUUGAUAAAAUUAAUAGUUAUAUAAAUAUGGAAGAAUAUAAAAAAAUAUAUGGGGAUGAAAUAUAUAGCGAAAUUAUAAAACUAUAUGUAAAAAGAGAAAUUAAAGAAGAUUACGAAAAGUUUUAUUUUAAUGAUAUUGUUAAUAAAAGUAUUUUAUUUAAUUUAAAUGAUUUUAAUGAUGAUGAGAAAUUUUUUACAAGUUUACAAAAUGAAUUUAUAAAUAAUGGUGUAUAUAUAAACACGAUUGAUAAAAAGUAUUAUAAUAAAAAAUAUAUGUUAAUUAUGAAACAAAUUUUAGAAUAUAUGCCUUUAUUAAAAAUAAUUAACAAUCCUACUGAUUUAAAAAAAUUAAAACCUGAAUAUUUAUAUUUAUUAACACAUGAAAUAAAAAUGUUUCUUUUUUUUAUGGUUAAUAUAACCGGUGGUCAUUUUUCUGCUUCGUUAGGAUUAUUGGAAUUGCAAUUAUUAUUAUUAUAUAUAUUUAAUCAACCAACUGAUAUUGUAAUAUAUGAUAUAGGUCAUCAAGCAUAUGUACAUAAAAUUUUAACUGGUAGAAAAUUAUUAUUUUUUUCGUUAAGGAAAAAAAAAGGAAUUAGUGGAUUUUUAAAUAUAUUUGAAAGUAUUUAUGAUAAAUUUGGAGCUGGACAUAGUUCAACUGCUUUAAGUGCUAUUCAAGGUUUUUAUGAAGCUGAUUGGCAAGUACUCCAACUGGAUAAACAAAAAAAAGAGCAACAGGAAAAAGAAAAAAAAAACAUGUUAUAUGAUGCGAGUGGUGCGAGUUAUGCAAGUGGUGCGAGUUAUGCGAAUGUUGCAAGUGGUGCGAAUGU
ensembl:lncRNA